GUACUCACUUUGGCAGCACAUAUACAAAAAUUGGAAUGAUACAAAGAAGAUUAGCAUGGUCCUGAACAAAGAUGCCACUCAAAUUCAUGAAGCAUUCCAUAUUUUU
rnacentral:snRNA from 1 species